rnacentral:tRNA from 1 species
UGGCUCAGUUGGUAGAGCAUGGUGUUUGUAACGCCAGGGUUGUGGGUUCGAUUUCCAC